ACGGAGGGUGCAAGCGUUACUCGGAAUCACUGGGCGUAAAGAGCGUGUAGGCGGAUAUAUAAGUCAGAAGUGAAAUCCAAUAGCUUAACUAUUGAACUGCUUUUGAAACUGCAAAUCUAGAAUGUGGGAGAGGUAGAUGGAAUAUCUGGUGUAGCAGUAAAAUCCGUAGAUAUCAGAUAGAAUACCAAUUGCGAAGGCAAUCUACUGGAACGAUAUUGACGCUGAAGCGCGAAAGUGUGGGUAGCAAACAG
rnacentral:rRNA from 1 species